rnacentral:rRNA from 1 species
AUACGGAGGAUGCGAGCGUUAUCCGGAUUUAUUGGGUUUAAAGGGUGCGUAGGCUGUGCUGCAAGUCAGUGGUGAAAGACCUGCGCUCAACGCAGGAAGUGCCAUUGAUACUGCAGUGCUGGAGUACCCCUGCCGUGGGAGGAAUGAGUGGUGUAGCGGUGAAAUGCGUAGAUAUCACUCAGAACACCGAUUGCGAAGGCAUCUCCAGAAAGGGCAACUGACUCUGAUGCACGAAAGCGUUGGGAUCAAACAGGAUUAGAUACCCUGGUAGUCCACUGUGUAAACGAUGAAUACUAGGUGUGGGGGGACUGACCCCCUCCGUGCCGCAGUUAACACAAUAAGUAUUCCACCUGGGGAGUACGAUCGCAAGAUUGAUACUCAAAUGAAUUGGCGUGG